rnacentral:misc_RNA from 1 species
UCCGGCUUGACGCCGGCAGUCUCCUUAGAGUGCCCAGCCGAACUGAUGGCAACUAAGGACAGGGGUUGCGCUCGUUGCGGGACUUAACCCAACAUCUCACGACACGAGCUGGCGACAGCCAUGCACCACCUGUGAUCGAGUCCCGAAGGAGGGCCGUAUUUCUACGGCUUUCCCGACCAUGUCAAGCCUUGGUAAGGUUCUUCGCGUUGCAUCGAAUUAAACCACACGCUCCGCUGCUUGUGCGGGUCCCCGUCAAUUCCUUUGAGUUUUAGCCUUGCGGCCGUACUCCCCAGGCGGGGCGCUUAAUGCGUUAGCUGCGGCACGGAACCCGUGGAAUGGAUCCCACACCUAGCGCCCAACGUUUACGGUGUGGACUAC